AACGUAGGAGACAAACGUUAUCCGGAGUUACUGGGCGUAAAGGGCGUGUAGGUGGUUUCGUAAGUCUGGCGUGAAAUUUUUCGGCUUAACCGGGAAAGGUCGUCGGAUACUGCGGAACUAGAGGACGGUAGAGGCGUGUGGAAUUCCGGGUGUAGUGGUGAAAAUGCGUAGAGAUCCGGAAGAACACCGGUGGCGAAGGCGGCCU
rnacentral:rRNA from 1 species